rnacentral:rRNA from 1 species
GACGAACGCUGGCGGCGUGCUUAACACAUGCAAGUCGAACGGAAAGGCCCUGCUUUUGUGGGGUGCUCGAGUGGCGAACGGGUGAGUAACACGUGAGUAACCUGCCCUUGACUUUGGGAUAACUUCAGGAAACUGGGGCUAAUACCGGAUAGGGGCUCCUGCUGCAUGGUGGGGGUUGGAAAGUUUCGGCGGUUGGGGAUGGACUCGCGGCUUAUCAGCUUGUUGGUGGGGUAGUGGCUUACCAAGGCUUUGACGGGUAGCCGGCCUGAGAGGGUGACCGGCCACAUUGGGACUGCGAUACGGCCCAGACUCCUACGGGAGGCAGCAGUGGGGAAUAUUGCACAAUGGGCGGAAGCCUGAUGCAGCAACGCCGCGUGCGGGAUGACGGCCUUCGGGUUGUAAACCGCUUUCGCCUGUGACGAAGCGUGAGUGACGGUAAUGGGUAAAGAAGCACCGGCUAACUACGUG